UUAAGCGACUAAGCGUACACGGUGGAUGCCCUGGCAGUCAGAGGCGAUGAAGGACGUGCUAAUCUGCGAUAAGCGUCGGUAAGGUGAUAUGAACCGUUAUAACCGGCGAUUUCCGAAUGGGGAAACCCAGUGUGUUUCGACACACUAUCAUUAACUGAAUCCAUAGGUUAAUGAGGCGAACCGGGGGAACUGAAACAUCUAAGUACCCCGAGGAAAAGAAAUCAACCGAGAUUCCCCCAGUAGCGGCGAGCGAACGGGGAGCAGCCCAGAGCCUGAAUCAGUAUGUGUGUUAGUGGAAGCGUCUGGAAAGGCGCGCGAUACAGGGUAACAGCCCCGUACACAAAAAUGCACAUGCUGUGAGCUCGAUGAGUAGGGCGGGACACGUGGUAUCCUGUCUGAGUAUGGGGGGACCAUCCUCCAAGGCUAAAUACUCCUGACUGACCGAUAGUGAACCAGUACCGUGAGGGAAAGGCGAAAAGAACCCCGGCGAGGGGAGUGAAAAAGAACCUGAAACCGUGUACGUACAAGCAGUGGGAGCUCGCUUAGGCGUGUGACUGCGUACCUUUUGUAUAAUGGGUCAGCGACUUAUAUUCUGUAGCAAGGUUAACCGAAUAGGGGAGCCGAAGGGAAACCGAGUCUUAACUGGGCGUUAAGUUGCAGGGUAUAGACCCGAAACCCGGUGAUCUAGCCAUGGGCAGGUUGAAGGUUGGGUAACACUAACUGGAGGACCGAACCGACUAAUGUUGAAAAAUUAGACGGAUGACUUGUGGCUGGGGGUAGAAAGGCCAAAGUCAAACCGGGAGAUAGGCUGGUUCUCCCGAAAGCUAUUAGGUAGCGCCUCGUGAAUUCAUCUCCGGGGGUAGAGCACUGUUUCGGCAAGGGGGUCAUCCCGACUUACCAACCCGAUGCAAACUGCGAAUACCGGAGAAUGUUAUCACGGGAGACACACGGCGGGUGCUAACGUCCGUCGUGAAGAGGGAAACAACCCAGACCGCCAGCUAAGGUCCCAAAGUCAUGGUUAAGUGGGAAACGAUGUGGGAAGGCCCAGACAGCCAGGAUGUUGGCUUAGAAGCAGCCAUCAUUUAAAGAAAGCGUAAUAGCUCACUGGUCGAGUCGGCCUGCGCGGAAGAUGUAACGGGGCUAAACCAUGCACCGAAGCUGCGGCAGCGACGCUUAUGCGUUGUUGGGUAGGGGAGCGUUCUGUAAGCCUGUGAAGGUGUGCUGUGAGGCAUGCUGGAGGUAUCAGAAGUGCGAAUGCUGACAUAAGUAACGAUAAAGCGGGUGAAAAGCCCGCUCGCCGGAAGACCAAGGGUUCCUGUCCAACGUUAAUCGGGGCAGGGUGAGUCGACCCCUAAGGCGAGGCCGAAAGGCGUAGUCGAUGGGAAACAGGUUAAUAUUCCUGUACUUGGUGUUACUGCGAAGGGGGGACGAAGAAGGCUAAUGUUGGCCGGGCGACGGUUGUCCCGGUUUAAGCGUGUAGGCUGGUUUUCCAGGCAAAUCCGGAAAAUCAAGGCUGAGGCGUGAUGACGAGGCACUACGGUGCUGAAGCAACAAAUGCCCUGCUUCCAGGAAAAGCCUCUAAGCAUCAGGUAACAUCAAAUCGUACCCCAAACCGACACAGGUGGUCAGGUAGAGAAUACCAAGGCGCUUGAGAGAACUCGGGUGAAGGAACUAGGCAAAAUGGUGCCGUAACUUCGGGAGAAGGCACGCUGAUAUGUAGGUGAAGUCCCUCGCGGAUGGAGCUGAAAUCAGUCGAAGAUACCAGCUGGCUGCAACUGUUAUUAAAACACAGCACUGUGCAAACACGAAAGUGGACGUAUACGGUGUGACGCCUGCCCGGUGCCGGAAGGUUAAUUGAUGGGGUCAGCGCAAGCGAAGCUCUUGAUCGAAGCCCCGGUAAACGGCGGCCGUAACUAUAACGGUCCUAAGGUAGCGAAAUUCCUUGUCGGGUAAGUUCCGACCUGCACGAAUGGCGUAAUGAUGGCCAGGCUGUCUCCACCCGAGACUCAGUGAAAUUGAACUCGCUGUGAAGAUGCAGUGUACCCGCGGCAAGACGGAAAGACCCCGUGAACCUUUACUAUAGCUUGACACUGAACAUUGAGCCUUGAUGUGUAGGAUAGGUGGGAGGCUUGGAAGUGUGGACGCCAGUCUGCAUGGAGCCGACCUUGAAAUACCACCCUUUAAUGUUUGAUGUUCUAACGUUGACCCGUAAUCCGGGUUGCGGACAGUGUCUGGUGGGUAGUUUGACUGGGGCGGUCUCCUCCUAAAGAGUAACGGAGGAGCACGAAGGUUGGCUAAUCCUGGUCGGACAUCAGGAGGUUAGUGCAAUGGCAUAAGCCAGCUUGACUGCGAGCGUGACGGCGCGAGCAGGUGCGAAAGCAGGUCAUAGUGAUCCGGUGGUUCUGAAUGGAAGGGCCAUCGCUCAACGGAUAAAAGGUACUCCGGGGAUAACAGGCUGAUACCGCCCAAGAGUUCAUAUCGACGGCGGUGUUUGGCACCUCGAUGUCGGCUCAUCACAUCCUGGGGCUGAAGUAGGUCCCAAGGGUAUGGCUGUUCGCCAUUUAAAGUGGUACGCGAGCUGGGUUUAGAACGUCGUGAGACAGUUCGGUCCCUAUCUGCCGUGGGCGCUGGAGAACUGAGGGGGGCUGCUCCUAGUACGAGAGGACCGGAGUGGACGCAUCACUGGUGUUCGGGUUGUCAUGCCAAUGGCACUGCCCGGUAGCUAAAUGCGGAAGAGAUAAGUGCUGAAAGCAUCUAAGCACGAAACUUGCCCCGAGAUGAGUUCUCCCUGACUCCUUGAGAGUCCUGAAGGAACGUUGAAGACGACGACGUUGAUAGGCCGGGUGUGUAAGCGCAGCGAUGCGUUGAGCUAACCGGUACUAAUGAACCGUGAGGCUUAACCUU
rnacentral:rRNA from 1 species